CUUUGCCUGCUAUCUCUUACCCAUGUCUUUUGAGUACCUUACGUUUCCUCGGCGGGUCCGCCCGCCGAUUGGACAAUUUAAACCAUUUGCAGUUGCAAUCAGCGUCUGAAAAAACUUAAUAGUUACAACUUUCAACAACGGAUCUCUUGGUUCUGGCAUCGAUGAAGAACGCAGCGAAAUGCGAUAAGUAGUGUGAAUUGCAGAAUUCAGUGAAUCAUCGAAUCUUUGAACGCACAUUGCGCCCCUUGGUAUUCCAUGGGGCAUGCCUGUUCGAGCGUCAUUUGUACCUUCAAGCUCUGCUUGGUGUUGGGUGUUUGUCUCGCCUCUGCGUGUAGACUCGCCUCAAAACAAUUGGCAGCCGGCGUAUUGAUUUCGGAGCGCAGUACAUCUCGCGCUUUGCACUCAUAACGACGACGUCCAAAAGUACAUUUUUACACUCUUGACCUCGGAUCAGGUAGGGAUACCCGCUGAACUUAAGCAUAUCAAUAAGCGGAGGAAG
rnacentral:rRNA from 1 species